UACGGGGGGGGCAAGCGCUGUUCGGAAUUACUGGGCGUAAAGGGCUCGUAGGUGGCCAACUAAGUCGGACGUGAAAUCCCUCAGCUUAACUGGGGAACUGCGUCCGAUACUGGAUGGCUUGAGUUUGGGAGAGGGAUGCGGAAUUCCAGGUGUAGCGGUGAAAUGCGUAGAUAUCUGGAGGAACACCGGUGGCGAAGGCGGCAUCCUGGACCAACACUGACACUGAGGAGCGAAAGCCAGGGGAGCAAACGGG
rnacentral:rRNA from 1 species